GACGAACGCUGGCGGCGUGCUUAACACAUGCAAGUCGAGCGGUAAGGCCCUUUCGGGGGUACACGAGCGGCGAACGGGUGAGUAACACGUGGGUGACCUGCCCUCAGCUCUGGGAUAAGCCUGGGAAACCGGGUCUAAUACUGGAUAUGACUCCAUGACGCAUGUUGUGGGGUGGAAAGCCUUGUGCGGCUGAGGAUGGGCCCGCGGCCUAUCAGCUU
rnacentral:rRNA from 1 species